CCUUCGGGAGCCUAUACAGGUGUUGCAUGGCUGUCGUCAGCUCGUGUCGUGAGAUGUUCGGUUAAGUCCGCUAACGAGCGCAACCCUCGUCGUAUGUUAUAUGUGUCAUACGAGACUGCCGGUAAAAAGCCGGAGGAAGGUGAGGAUGAUGUCAAGUCAGCAUGACCUUUAUAUCCAGGGCUACACACACGCUACAAUGGUCUGUACAAUGGGUAGCCAAGCCGCGAGGCGGAGCCAAUCCUGAAAGCAGGCCUCAGUUCAGAUUGCAGUCUGCAACUCGACUGCAUGAAGCCGGAGUUGCUAGUAACCGCAGGUCAGCAGUACUGCGGUGAAUACGUUCCCGGGUCUU
rnacentral:rRNA from 1 species